rnacentral:tRNA from 2 species
AGACAGAUAGUUCAAGGGUAGAAUAUCCUGCAUGUCAGGAAGGUUACGGGUUCAAGUCCCGUUCUGUCAG